UGACACUGCUAUUCCUAAAAUUUGGAAUAAGAUAACCUAAUUAAUUUGUUUACUAGAAACAUUGAAAAUCUACAAAACUGCUGACACAUAUAAUGCACUAAGUGUGUGAACAGUGGCGGGGGUUUUAAUUCAUCCCGGUGGUUUGAAUCUUUUCUGCAGAGUCGGCUGCAUCGAGUCUUUAAAGCAUCGAUUCAUUCACUCAGAACAGAUUCGUUCAAAGAGUCUCGUUCAUUGAUCUAACCAUGGUUCAGACUCAUAACAGCGACUCGUUUCGUGAAUUAGGAUUGGUGAAUGGUAUUCGUUAAGUGGAUCCUAGACAGCCCGCGGUCAAAUGUUAUUUGCUCGUGCUAUGGUUACUUUGAAUUCGGAAUGAAUCGGUGUUUUUGAACGAAUCAUUUGAGUGAAAGAAUCGUACUUGGCAUAACUAGCAUAGUAACUACUCUUACUAAUUCUGGCAUGUCAUAAUAUGCCAGAAAUAUUAGCAUGCAAUAUACGGUAUUCCAAAUUUAAGCGUAUUGAAGUGAAGGAACGAUUCUUCCGCUUAAAAGAUUUGUUUAAAAACACCCGGUCGUUCGUUCACCAUCAAUGCCACAAAUAUGAGCUGUUCAGACACGUGCAGUUUUGCAUCCGGGACUUUUCGAGGAUUACACCUGCCGCUAAGCUACAGGGAAAGUAUUGACGGGUGCAAAGAGCCAAGACAGCACAUGCCUGAAACAUCACACCAAAUUGUUCUGCAUGGAUCAGUCCGAGAAACUUAAAAGUAAGUGAGCUUCAANAUCAAAAUAAUAUUAGCUGUGUGCAUACCACUGUUCUACUAACAUGUUUCACAAAAUAUCUAAGGUAUUUAAAAAAAACUUUAAUUUUGUGGAAAACACCGUGAUCAGAAUUAGAGAACAUUAACAACUGUAGCACAAAAGAAGAUUACAAGUAAAAUUUUGGAGGGUUACAGCUGUCAGAAAUCAGUAGGAAUUGUAGAGGCCCCUGCUUUGAAUGACUUAAGCACAUCUGCGGCCGCAGGACAUCUCUAGUUUCACACUGCGCUGGUGUGCACUCUCUUCCAUAGUUCUGUAACUGUAAUGGGUUUCUCAGCCCUAACUUUCCAGAGAUUUUCAGUUGGGUUUAGAUCUCUGGGCCGGCAAGUGCAUUAUUUCAAUGUUAUUGUCUUUAAGGGACUGCAUUACCCGUUUUGCAGUGUGACGGCUGCAUUGUCUUGCAUGAAACUUGCAGGCUGAUAGGGAGAUGCUUACAGGGAAGCAUGUUGCUGAAUGAGGUUCUGAUAAACAUUUGCAUUCACCAUGUAUCUGUAUAAGAGGCCCAACUCCUGCUGCAGAAGACAUCGCCCAAACUAUGACACUUCCUCCUCCACCUCUCACUGACUUCUUUACAUAGUUUGGCUUCAGUCUUUCCCCAGUUUGAUGCAGAACAUAAUCUUUCCCAUCAGACCCAAAUACAUUACACUUGCUCUCAUCACUGAAGUGAACUUUGGACCAGUUAUCC
ensembl:lncRNA